AGGUUUAGCUGGUUGGGGAAACACCAUGAUCACAGAGAUAGCUUUCCCAGGGUGAGGCUCAUGCAUUGCCUUUUGGCUAUGCUUAGUCUACAGCACAGUUUGUAGUAGUAGGGACCUUUUCCUUG
rnacentral:snRNA from 1 species